CUUAUAUUUAUCUCUUCAAACAUAAAAGAUAAUAAUAAGUACAUCAACAACUGUAGCUGUUCACCUAAUCUUUGCUAGGCACAAGGGCUUUUCUUUUCUUCUAAAAUCUAUACAUAUAUUUUUGUGAAGAGAAUGCUUAAAACACACUUGUGUCUUCAUAUUUCAAAUCCAUUGUUGCAUUAAUUUCCAGAAAGAAUACAAUCUAACCACAUAAUUGUUAAUUUCCUGUAAGGCAUGCCUCAUGGAAAUAGACCCCCUUAAGAAGCCUCCUGGACCCUGUUGCUCAUUUUCUUUUGUAGAAGACCUUGUGCCAGGCUAACCUUUCUGCCCCAAAACGUUUAUAAUUCGUCCAGACCUCCAUAUUGUGAAUGUGUAAAAACUUUCAAGCAGCAUUUCUAUAUAACCAAAAUAACAAUGCAUUACUCCAUUUCUGCCAUCCAGGAUGAAUAAUCUAAAAUCCCUUUUUCAACCAGUUUCCUUCUCUCUCAUAUUUUACAGCUGCCAAAAUCUUUACAUUGUGCUUGAGCAUUGAACUACUGCUUUGAGUACUUUGACUUAAUUUUCAGAACUCUCAGCCUUGUCACCAACCACAAAACGAUUUUUAUCAGUGUUCAAGCCUGAUGAAUGAAGCUGCUUCCGCCUCUUUACAAGAAGAAGUGCAGUCUGCCUGUCGUCUUUAGCCUCCUCAGAAUAAGGCUUUAUGGCUAAUGCUUUGUCAAAGCUUUCAAUGGCACUAUCAGGUUCCCCAAAGUUUAACUGUGCUCUACCAAGGGUGAUCCAUGCCUCAGCCCAGGAAGGUUCCAACUCAGUAGCUCGAGUCGCAGCCUUCAAUGCAUUCCAUGCGUCUCCAAUUUCAAGUAAAACUUGUGCCUUUUGUUCGUGUAAGACAGCACUUUCAGGCAUCAAAUUAAGAGCAGCCUCCCACUUCCCAAGUGCUUCACGGUAUUUUCCAUCCUCAGCUAGCUUAUUCCCUUGGGCUUGAAAGGACUCAGCAAGAUGCCUAUCGGAUUCUGAAUUCAAGGGCUCGUGAGAGGCAACCACCAGCUCGCUAUUACUAUGCUCCUCAUCCUUACUACCAAUCUCUAUAGAAUCUCCAGGGUCUUGUUGAUCAAAAGGGAGAUUUGGGUACUUCGAUAUGGCUGCCAGAGAGCGUUUCUUGCUCUUAUUGUCCUUCUUCCAUGUUAGCUUCAUCUCUCGCUUCCUCUGCGCGAACCCUCGGCUCUUCUCUGUCGAAGUCGAAGGAC
rnacentral:misc_RNA from 1 species